rnacentral:rRNA from 1 species
GAGUUUGAUCCUGGCUCAGGACGAACGCUGGCGGCGUGCCUAAUACAUGCAAGUAGAACGCUGACUACUUUAGCUUGCUAGAGUAGAAGGAGUUGCGAACGGGUGAGUAACGCGUAGGUAACCUGCCUACUAGCGGGGGAUAACUAUUGGAAACGAUAGCUAAUACCGCAUAACAGUGUUUAACACAUGUUAGAUGCUUGAAAGAUGCAAUUGCAUCACUAGUAGAUGGACCUGCGUUGUAUUAGCUAGUUGGUGAGGUAACGGCUCACCAAGGCGACGAUACAUAGCCGACCUGAGAGGGUGAUCGGCCACACUGGGACUGAGACACGGCCCAGACUCCUACGGGAGGCAGCAGUAGGGAAUCUUCGGCAAUGGGGGCAACCCUGACCGAGCAACGCCGCGUGAGUGAAGAAGGUUUUCGGAUCGUAAAGCUCUGUUGUAAGAGAAGAACGUGUGUGAGAGUGGAAAGUUCACACAGUGACGGUAACUUACCAGAAAGGGACGGCUAACUACGUGCCAGCAGCCGCGGUAAUACGUAGGUCCCGAGCGUUGUCCGGAUUUAUUGGGCGUAAAGCGAGCGCAGGCGGUUUAAUAAGUCUGAAGUUAAAGGCAGUGGCUUAACCAUUGUUCGCUUUGGAAACUGUUAGACUUGAGUGCAGAAGGGGAGAGUGGAAUUCCAUGUGUAGCGGUGAAAUGCGUAGA